CCAAUAGCGUAUAUUAAAGUUGUUGCAGUUAAAAAGCUCGUAGUUGAAUUUUAGGCCUGGCCAGGCGGUCCGUCUUUGGCGAGUACUGUCUUGUUGUCGGGUCUUCCUUCUGGUGAACCAGUAUGUCCUUUAUUGGGUGUGUUGGGGAGCCAGGACCAUUACCUUGAAAAAAUUAGAGUGUUUAAAGCGGGCUAUUGCUUGAAUAGAUUAGCAUGGAAUAAUAGAAUAGGACGUUGUGGUUCUAUUUUGUUGGUUUCUAGGACCACCGUAAUGAUUAAUAGGGAUAGUUGGGGGCAUUAGUAUUCAAUUGUCAGAGGUGAAAUUCUUGGAUUUAUUGAAGACUAACUAUUGCGAAAGCAUUUGCCAAGGAUGUUUUCAUUAAUCAAGAACGAAAGUUAGGGGAUCGAAGACGAUCAGAUACCGUCGUAGUCUUAACCAUAAACUAUGCCGACUAGGAAUCGGGCGACGUUAUUCUCAUGACUCGCUCGGCGCCUUAUG
rnacentral:rRNA from 1 species